AUAGAGAUAUUUAAGAAUAAUCAUACAACGUCUACGAAGUGUCAGUAUCAUGCUGCUGCUUCAAAUCCAAAGUGGUGUCUUGGUGAGAAUUGAUUUAUUGAGUGUCGAAGUAGACAUGUUGAUAAAAAGAUUGUUCCAAUAAUUACGUGUAAACCAUGGAAUCCUGUUGCAACAAAGAAUGUUGACCCAUAAACUGCAUCUGCAAUGGUAAAAGGUGCUUCUCAAUAUUCAUAUGCUUGGAGUAUUGUAAAGUAUAGUCCUAAUAACACUGUGAAGAAUAAUGCUUGUAGUGCUUGAGUAUGAUUAGAUUCCAUUAAACUAUGAUGUGCUCAUGUUACUGUUACUCCUGAUGCUAAAAGAAUAGCUGUAGUAAGUAAUGGAAUUUGUAUAGGGUUAAAGGGUUGAAUUCCUAUUGGAGGUCAUAGUAUUCCUAGUUCAAUUGUUGGUGCUAAUCUUCUUCUUAAGAAUGCUCAAAAAAAAAGAAACGAAAAAUAAUACCUCUGAUGCAAUAAAUAAAAUUAUUCCUCAUCGUAAUCCAAUUGAUACAAAUCCUGUAUGUAAUCCUUGAUAUGUUCCUUCUCGUACUACAUCUCGUCAUCAUUGAAUUAUGGUUAGUAGGGUAAUUCCAAAUCCAAUUAUAAAUAAGUUAAUAUUAAAUAGGUGGAAUCAUUUUGCUAGUCCUGAUACUAGGACUAUUGCUCCAAUUGCUCCUGUUAAUGGUCAAGGUCUAUAGUCUACUAAGUGGAAUAGGUGGUUUGAGUGAGUUGUUAACAUAGGUUUAAUAUACUUCUCUAGAAUAUAAAGUUCUUAGAAUUGAGAAAACAUAGGCUUGAAUUAUUGCUACUGCUGAUUCUAGAAUUAAUAGAAGUAUUUGUCCAAUAAUUAGUAAUGAGAUUAAGUUUAUUGCUAUAGAUGGUCCUGUGUUUCCUAAUAAGGUUAAUAAUAAGUGUCCUGCAAUUAUAUUUGCUGCUAACCGUACUGCUAAUGUACCUGGUCGAAUAACAUUACUAAUUGUUUCAAUUAGUACUAUAUAUGAUAUUAAUGCGGGCGGUGUACCUUGUGGUACAAGGUGUGUAAAUAUAUGAUUAGUAUGGUUAAUUCAUCCAAAUAAUAUAAAUCUUAGUCAUAUAGGUAGGGCAAUUGCAAAUGUUAAUGCUAAAUGUCUUGUUCUAGUAAAAAUAUAAGGGAAUAAUCCUAUGAAAUUGUUAAAUAAUAUUAUAAUAAGAAUUGUGAUGAAAAUGAAUGUUGUUCCAUUAAAUGAUUUUGGUCCAAGUAGUGUUUUAAAUUCAUUAUGUAAGGUUAAAUUUAGUUUAUUUCAGAUAAUGUUAAUUCGUGAUGGUGUAAGUCAAAAUAGUGAUGGGAUUAAUAAUAGUCCUAGAAAUGUUCUAGAACAAUUGAAAUAAAAAACUUAAAUUGAAAAUGAUAACAAAUCUAUUCUCAACAUUUGACCCAUCAACUAACAUCUUUAAUUUAUCAUUAAAUUGAACUAGAACAUUUCUAGGACUAUUAUUAAUCCCAUCACUAUUUUUACUUACACCAUCACGAAAUAACAUUAUCUGAAAUAAACUAAAUUUAACCUUACAUAAUGAAUUUAAAACACUACUUGGACCAAAAUCAUUUAAUGGAACAACAUUCAUUUUCAUCUCAAUUCUUAUUAUAAUAUUAUUUAACAAUUUCAUAGGAUUAUUCCCUUAUAUUUUUACUAGAACAAGACAUUUAGCAUUAACAUUUGCAAUUGCCCUACCUAUAUGACUAAGAUUUAUAUUAUUUGGAUGAAUUAACCAUACUAAUCAUAUAUUUACACACCUUGUACCACAAGGUACACCGCCCGCAUUAAUAUCAUUUAUAGUACUAAUUGAAACAAUUAGUAAUGUUAUUCGACCAGGUACAUUAGCAGUACGGUUAGCAGCAAAAAUAAUUGCAGGACACUUAUUAUUAACCUUAUUAGGAAACACAGGACCAUCUAUAGCAAUAAACUUAAUCUCAUUACUAAUUAUUGGACAAAUACUUCUAUUAAUUCUAGAAUCAGCAAUAGCAAUAAUUCAAGCCUAUGUUUUCUCAAUUCUAAGAACUCUAUAUUCUUGAGAAGUAUAUUAAACCUAUGUUAACAACUCACUCAAACCACCCAUUCCACAUAGUAGACUAUAGACCUUGACCAUUAACAGGAGCAAUUGGAGCAAUAGUCCUAGUAUCAGGACUAGCAAAAUGAUUCCACCUAUUUAAUAUUAACUUAUUUAUAAUUGUAUUUGGAAUUACCCUACUAACCAUAAUUCAAUGAUGACGAGAUGUAGUACGAGAAGGAACAUAUCAAGGAUUACAUACAGGAUUUGUAUCAAUUGGAUUAGGAUGAGGAAUAAUUUUAUUUAUUGCAUCAGAGGUAUUAUUUUUCGUUUCUUUUUUUGAGCAUUCUUUAGAAGAAGAUUAGCACCAACAAUUGAACUAGGAAUACUAUGACCUCCAAUAGGAAUUCAACCCUUUAACCCUAUACAAAUUCCAUUACUUAAUACAGCUAUUCUUUUAGCAUCAGGAGUAACAGUAACAUGAGCACCUCAUAGUUUAAUGGAAUCUAAUCAUACUCAAGCACUACAAGGAUUAUUCUUCACAGUGUUAUUAGGACUAUACUUUACAAUACUCCAAGCAUAUGAAUAUUGAGAAGCACCUUUUACCAUUGCAGAUGCAGUUUACGGGUCAACAUUCUUUGUUGCAACAGGAUUCCAUGGUUUACACGUAAUUAUUGGAACAAUCUUUUUAUCAACAUGUCUACUUCGACACUCAAUAAAUCAAUUCUCACCAAGACACCACUUUGGAUUUGAAGCAGCAGCAUGAUACUGACACUUCGUAGACGUAGUAUGAUUAUUCUUAUAUAUCUCUAUUUAUUGAUGAGGUAGAUAAUU